GGGGGGGGGUUCCGGGGGUUGGAACCCCCCUUUUUUUGGCCGAUCAAUGCAUUUGAAUGGGAGCAUAUAGUUGGAACCCCCCAGAUAUUACACCAUUGAAUGAGACUUGUCACAGGAUCUGUACUUGCCAGGAGCAAGACUGGUGUUUACUUUUUAUAUCUUCUGUCUCUUUUUAUAACUUAACAAUAGAAUGAUAUGUUUGUGAAUUUCACACCGACAAUCUUUGUAUAUGGAUGUUCGUAACUGUGUCCAUCAAUACAUAGAAGAGUCAAAUCCAGUGCCUAAGUAAUAGGAUAACCAUAUUUGGUGUAUGGAUUCCUUGUGACGUCUCCAUGUCAGUCAGACAGAUUUUUCCUGACCUCGACCUUAUUUCAUGGAUCAGUGAUCAAGGUUAAAGUACGUACAAUUAGCGGUAGGUCAACUAUAUGUGGAGUAUGGAAUAACGGAAAUGGGUACAUGUCAGUCUGGCAGGUUUCAUCUGAUCUUGAUCCCAAAUCCAUGUUCAUUGGUCAAUGUUAAGUUUUUGUUGUUAAGUCUGCUUUCCAAUUACCAUAAGCAAUAUGUAAACUAUAUUUGGUGAAUGGAACGAUUGUAAGAUAUACAUGUCUGUCUAGCAGAUAUCAUCUAACCACGACCUAAUUUUCAUGGUAUAUUGGCCAAUGUCAAAAUUUUAUGUGUUGGUCUGUUUUCAAGUAUCAUAAGCAGUUAUAGGUCUACUAUUUUUGGUGCCUGGAAUGAUUGUAAGUUGUUCAUGUCUGUCUGGCAAGUGUCAUCUGACCUUGACCUAAUCUUCAUAGUUCAUUUGUCAAUGUUAAGUUUUUGUGUUUUGGACUGUUUUUCAGGACUAUAAGCAAUAGGUAAACUUUAUCUUGUGUAUAGAAUGAUUAAAAACAAGUGUGUCUGUUUGGUAGAUAUCAUCUGAACUUUACCUCAUUUUCAUGGUUCAUUGGUCAAUUUUAAGUUUUUCUUUUUAAUUCUGUUUUAUCAAUUUAUUUUGGUGUUUUUUCUAUUAUAAUAAGCAUGAGGUCUACUAUAUUUGUUUUACAGUCUGUCUGACCUGAGUUUCUGUGAUGCUCUUAGUUAAACGUUAAUCCUAAAGACUUUCAACUUCAAUGGUCAUAAAAGCAGGCGAGACAUUUCAGCGUGUGCACUGUUGUUUUUCUAUCGACGCAUACGCAUAUGUAUGGUACCAUCUUCAGCUUCUACAGUAAUAUUAUUCUAUCUUUCAUGGU
rnacentral:lncRNA from 1 species